GGGAGAUGAUUUUUGAUGCUCAUAGCUCUUCUACAUCAGGAUACUUCGCCGGAAGAUUGAGCAUGAAUCACAUGAGUUAUUAUCCGCUGGUUGCACCUGCUCCGCGGGAAGAGGUGAAGUAUCCCAAUUUUGUCAGUCCUCAAAGUGAGUACAAUUCAAAGUAUUCCUCUCCCAACAGGAAGAAUGGUAACCUGCCAUAUGGUCCUAUGAUAUCAAGCCCCAAGAUGAGGCACAUUUCAGCCACAAAAGAAUCUGUUAAAAAAGUUCCAUUGGUUGCUUCGUACAUCGGUCAAGACGGUCAAAAGCUAAGCUACGAAGCACUGAAGGCUGCGUAUAUGG
rnacentral:lncRNA from 1 species